UCGUGCUAGAUGGGGCGUUAGCGGUGCCUUGUACUCGCAAUCCGCUACAGCGAGAUUGAAUUCCUCAUUUGAGGGUAGGUAUUGGUGACCUCUAAACUUAAAAUAUAAUGUUGAUGGGCUAGCCCUACGCGGCGAAUUGUCGUAAACUCCGUCAGGACUGGAAAGUAGCAGCGGUAAGCGGAUUUUUUUGGGUGCUGUAGGUAAUCUGGACUUGAGUUGUAUUUAAGUUGUAUGUUAUUAAUUCUACUCAAAUUUGAGGGCACGG
rnacentral:SRP_RNA from 1 species